rnacentral:rRNA from 1 species
AGUGAACGCUGGCGGUAGGCCUAACACAUGCAAGUCGAAUGGCAGCACAGGAGAGCUUGCUCUCUGGGUGGCGAGUGGCGGACGGGUGAGGAAUACACCGGAAUCUACUCUGUCGUGGGGGAUAACGUAGGGAAACUUACGCUAAUACCGCAUACGACCUACGGGUGAAAGCAGGGGACCUUCGGGCCUUGCGCGAUUGAAUGAGCCGAUGUCGGAUUAGCUAGUUGGCGGGGUAAAGGCCCACCAAGGCGACGAUCCGUAGCUGGUCUGAGAGGAUGAUCAGCCACAAUGGAACUGAGACACGGUCCAGACUCCUACGGGAGGCAGCAGUGGGGAAUAUUGGACAAUGGGCGCAAGCCUGAUCCAGCCAUACCGCGUGGGUGAAGAAGGCCUUCGGGUUGUAAAGCCCUUUUGUUGGGAAAGAAAUCCAGCUGGCUAAUACCCGGUUGGGAUGACGGUACCCAAAGAAUAAGCACCGGCUAACUUCGUGCCAGCCGCCGCCGUAA